rnacentral:rRNA from 1 species
UACGUAGGGUGCAAGCGUAAUCGGAAUUACUGGGCGUAAAGCGUGCGCAGGCGGCUUUGCAAGACAGAUGUGAAAUCCCCGGGCUUAACCUGGGAACUGCAUUUGUGACUGCAUGGCUGGAGUGCGGCAGAGGGGGAUGGAAUUCCGCGUGUAGCAGUGAAAUGCGUAGAUAUGCGGAGGAACACCGAUGGCGAAGGCAAUCCCCUGGGCCUGCACUGACGCUCAUGCACGAAAGCGUGGGGAGCAAACAGG